rnacentral:rRNA from 1 species
CCCUUAGACGUUCUGGGCCGCACGCGCGCUACACUGACCAGUGCAACAAGCAUCCGUCCUUGGCCGACAGGCCCGGGCAAUCUUUGAACGCUGGUCGUGAUGGGGAUAGACUUUUGCAAUUUUUGGUCUUCAACGAGGAAUUCCUAGUAAACGCAAGUCAUCAACUUGCAUUGAUUGCGUCCCUGCCCUUUGUACACACCGCCCGUCGCACCUACCGAUUGAAUGGUCCGGUGAAGCCUCCGGAUUGGCGCGCACCUCGGUGCCGCCGAGAAGUUGGCUAAACCUUACCAUUUAGAGGAAGGUGAAGUCGUAACA